AAAAAAAGUAUCCGCUCCCAAAUCUGGCAGCCACCUACCAUCACCGCUCCCAAAAGUCUCUCUCUUCCUCAUCGCCCCGCCGGCGACGGCGCCGGCUCCGUGGAGGUGGUGGAGUUUAUGGUGGAGUCGGUCUGGAUCCGAGGAGGCUGGUUUUUCCUGUAGUUAAUAACCGUGCGCAGAAGAAAAAUAGAUACUGAAGAAAAAAAAAAAAAAAUCUUCCAGAAAUGGAGCUUUUGGGUUGAAUGAGAUUCGUUAUUCGGCAAAAUUUAUUUUCUCUUCAGCAAAGAAGACGAAGUCCUGCACGUCUAUGAGCCAACGGUGGUUUAUUAUCCUCCGGCGGAUCCAUUAAAGCGAAAGAAAGAGAUAUACUUUGGGUUGCGAUGGCUGACAGAGGAAAAGAGAGAUGCUUUUUACAUUGAUUAGCAAAUCUCGGACCAUUGAUUUACAAUGAACGGUUUGGAUUUCAUUCAUGUUCUAUCUGUUAUCGCGGAGGAAUCUGGAAUCUU